CGGUUCUUUUCCCGCUUACGUGUCUCGCUUCACGAGAGCUGGAGUUUGUGAAUCAACGUUACCGGUGAGCCAAGAGCGGCGCCACCAGAGGGAGCGACAGUGCGGCUAGCUUGCUGCGGCUAGCUUACUAACAUCACGGCUGCUAACCGGGACGAGGCCAACGUCCGGCAGCUAACCGACCUAACAGAGAAAACAACCAGUGGAAAACGACGCGUUGGAUUGACAACAGGCAGAGGUAAAACUCUGCCUUGUCCGGUGUCUGUGUUCACAGAGAGACAGCGCAGUGGCCUCCAACUGCUGAGCAGGAGCCUUAAGGAAGCGACAGGCAAAAAGAAGCGAAAUAAUGCCUCCAAAA